CCUACGGGAGGCUGCAGUGGGGAAUAUUGGACAAUGGGGGCAACCCUGAUCCAGCCAUGCCGCGUGUGUGAAGAAGGCCCUCGGGUUGUAAAGCACUUUCAGUGAGGAAGAACGCCUGGUGGUUAAUACCCAUCAGGAAAGACAUCACUCACAGAAGAAGCACCGGCUAACUCCGUGCCAGCAGCCGCGGUAAUACGGAGGGUGCGAGCGUUAAUCGGAAUUACUGGGCGUAAAGCGCGCGUAGGUGGCUUGAUAAGCCGGUUGUGAAAGCCCCGGGCUCAACCUGGGAACGGCAUCCGGAACUGGCAAGCUAGAGUGCAGGAGAGGAAGGUAGAAUUCCCGGUGGAGCGGUGAAAUGCGUAGAGAUCGGGAGGAAUACCAGUGGCGAAGGCGGCCUUCUGGACUGACACUGACACUGAGGUGCGAAAGCGUGGGUAGCAAACAGGAUUAGAUACCCCUGUAGUC
rnacentral:rRNA from 1 species